rnacentral:rRNA from 1 species
GACGAACGCUGGCGGCGUGCUUAACACAUGCAAGUCGAACGGGCUGCCUGGUUUUCGGAUCGGGUGGAGAGUGGCGAACGGGUGAGUAACACGUGAGUAACCUGCCCCUCUCUUUGGGAUAACGUCGGGAAAUCGGCGCUAAUACCGGGUAUUCUGGCUUCCUCGCAUGGGGUUGUUGGGAAAGGUUUUUUCUGGUGGGGGAUGGGCUCGCGGCCUAUCAGCUUGUUGGUGGGGUGAUGGCCUACCAAGGCGGUGACGGGUAGCCGGCCUGAGAGGGUGUCCGGCCACACUGGGACUGAGACACGGCCCAGACUCCUACGGGAGGCAGCAGUGGGGAAUAUUGCACAAUGGGCGGAAGCCUGAUGCAGCGACGCCGCGUGGGGGAUGACGGCCUUCGGGUUGUAAACCUCUUUCAGUGCAGAACAAGGCUCUUUGUGGGUUGAGGGUAUGCGCAGAAGAAGCGCCGGCUAACUACGUG